GAUCCUGGCUCAGAACGAACGCUGGCGGCGUGCCUAACACAUGCAAGUCGAGCGCGAACGGAGCAAUCCUAGUAGAGCGGCGCACGGGUGCGUAACACGUGGAUAAUCUGCCUGGGUGUCUGGGAUAACCAGUCGAAAGACUGGCUAAUACCGGAUAAGCCCCCGGGAGCUUCGGCUCUUGAGGGAAAAGGUGGCCUCUGUAUACAAGCUAUCACAUCCAGAUGAGUCCGCGGCCCAUCAGCUAGUUGGCGGGGUAAUGGCCCACCAAGGCGACGACGGGUAGCUGGUCUGAGAGGACGAUCAGCCACACUGGAACUGGGACACGGUCCAGACUCCUACGGGAGGCAGCAGUGGGGAAUUUUGCGCAAUGGGCGAAAGCCUGACGCAGCAACGCCGCGUGUGUGAUGAAGGUCUUCGGAUUGUAAAGCACUUUCGACCGGGACGAAAACCCGUUGGCUAACAUCCAACGGCUUGACGGUACCGGGAGAAGAAGCACCGGCUAACUCUGUGCCAGCAGCCGCGGUAAUACAGAGGGUGCAAGCGUUGUUCGGAAUUAUUGGGCGUAAAGCGCGUGUAGGCGGCUUUGCAAGUCGGGUGUGAAAGCCCUCAGCUCAACUGAGGAAGUGCGCCCGAAACUGCAGAGCUUGAGUGCCGGAGAGG
rnacentral:rRNA from 1 species